AAAGUCGUAACAAGGUCUCCGUAGGUGAACCUGCGGAGGGAUCAUUAACACUAUUUGGCUGAAAUGACGAACAAAGUCGAAAGACAAUGGGACCUCAUUUCAGUUCAAAUUCAAACCACACUGUUGAACUCGGUUACCUUGUGUAGCCAAUCCUCCCUUUGAAUCAGAAAUGUUAAUGGAUAGUUUGUAGUGGGUUGACGUAAGUCAACGACUACCAUUAACUAGCAAAGCUAUAUUAACUUAAUUGUUACUAUUGACUUUGAGUUUCUGUUUCUUAGGCAAUUCUAACCAAUGUUUCCUCCACUAUAGAAAUGAACCUAUUUCACCCCUUCGUACUCCAAUUGACUGAUCUCUAUGCUGGAGACCCGAAAGGGCUCAUAUACAGCAAGCCUUUAAGAUAAUUCUUAAACUAAGCACAACUCUUAGCAACGGAUAUCUUGGCUCUC
rnacentral:misc_RNA from 1 species